rnacentral:lncRNA from 1 species
UAUUAGGUUUAUCAAGUUGGGAUGAACACUAACCGUUAUGAGAUCUUCGUUUCUUUUGGAAGGAGGUGUACUAAUGUUGUUAGCAAUGUAUAUGAACUUGGGACUUUUGUUUCGAGAGGUACUAGCAUUAGUUUUAGAUGGUGUGAAGGCAGAACCCACUUUUUCAAUCACCUCCUCCAUUUUAUCAGUUCUACUCAAACCUGGUUCUAUCC